GCAGUGGUGGGUCAGUGGUUUUAGGGUACUGGGUUACUGGGCAGAAGGUUGGGGGUUCAAACUCCCCCUGCUGCU